UACGUAGGGUGCAAGCGUUGUCCGGAAUUAUUGGGCGUAAAGAGCUCGUAGGCGGUCUGUCGCGUCUGCUGUGAAAACUCAGGGCUUAACCCUGAGCUUGCAGUGGGUACAGGCAGACUAGAGUGCGGUAGGGGAGACUGGAAUUCCUGGUGUAGCGGUGAAAUGCGCAGAUAUCAGGAGGAACACCGGUGGCGAAGGCGGCGACCUGGGUCGAGACUGACGCUGGAGGCGCGAAAGCGUGGGGAGCAAACAGG
rnacentral:rRNA from 1 species